rnacentral:rRNA from 1 species
UACAGAGGGUGCGAGCGUUGUUCGGAUUCAUUGGGCGUAAAGGGUGUGUAGGUGGCGCGCUAAGUCGGGUGUGAAAUUUCGGAGCUUAACUCCGAAACUGCAUUCGAUACUGGCGUGCUUGAGGACUGGAGAGGAGACUGGAAUUCAUGGUGUAGCAGUGAAAUGCGUAGAGAUCAUGAGGAAGACCAGUGGCGAAGGCGGGUCUCUGGACAGUUCCUGACACUGAGACACGAAGGCUAGGGGAGCAAACGGG